UCUAUCUUUUCAAAGUAAUCCCUUAAAGAUAUUUACAUGUUGUAAUGCUCACCACAAACUCUCUGUUUUGCUCACAACCUCUGUUUGUGUUCUUGUUAAAACAAAAAAAUACAAGAACACGUUUAAACACUUCAAUGUAUACAUUGUUAAUAAACUUGAUAAUCUUACACAACACAAAGACACACAUACAUACAGUGGUUUUGCUCCACUUGCUACACUACACAUACUUAGACUCUAGACCACAUCAUAGACCUAAAACUUACAUCAGCCACUCUACUAUGUUGGAACUCCCAACUCCUUAAUUCACUCUUACACAACAUCUUAGACUCUAUCUUAGACUAAGAACACAACACUCAUUAACUAAACAUACUUGGGCCUAAUUCAUCUGCAACCCAUUACAACAAAACACAAUGCCCAACAUCUAUUCUGUUGACUUUGUUCCUUCCUCUUCAUGUUUCGUUGACUUCUUGUCACGACAUCUUCUUCUUCAUUUUGCUCCUUCUUUACGCUUGAAGCUUCUUCUCUAUUCUUCUCUUCUUCUCAUGAAGCUUUUCUUGUUGCAGGAUUUAAUCUAGGAUUCACAAUUCCAACAUUACAGCUAACAAGAUAAUAGCUGAGAUAUAUAAAAUAUAGGAAGGUCCUAAAACCGAAUUAACUCAAUAGAAAAAUAAGAAAAUCUACAAUUAUAAAUCCCCUAGAAAU